AUGAAGCCGAGUAACCCCAGCAAAGUGAAGCCUCAGCUGGAGCUGGAGGGAGACGACAGGAAGAAGUGUGCUUUUUCUGACAUCUUUCUGCUAAUGCAUCUGUUUAGGGACACUGGAGAACCUGUGGGAGUUUCUGAGAGGGAUAAUGGCAGAUUUUUCCUGAUGAUGGAUGAUUGCAGGAUGGAUGAGGGGGGAGCUGCAGCACAGAAGGCUCAAGGCAGGCAAGUUUAUAUUCAGAAGUCAUUCUAG
rnacentral:lncRNA from 1 species